rnacentral:rRNA from 1 species
GAGUUUGAUCGUGGCUCAGAACGAACGCUGGCGGCAGGCUUAACACAUGCAAGUCGAACGCGUGUAGCAAUACACGAGUGGCGCACGGGUGAGUAACACGUGGAUAUCUGCCUUUUGGUUCGGAAUAACCCUGGGAAACUAGGGCUAAUACCGAAUGGUUCCUACGGGAUAAAGAUUUAUCGCCAAAAGAUGAGUCCGCGUCCGAUUAGCUAGUUGGUGAGGUAAUGGCUCACCAAGGCGACGAUCGGUAGCUGGUCUGAGAGGACGAUCAGCCACACUGGGACUGAGACACGGCCCAGACUCCUACGGGAGGCAGCAGUGGGGAAUAUUGGACAAUGGGGGCAACCCUGAUCCAGCCAUGCCGCGUGAGUGAUGAAGGCCUU